rnacentral:tRNA from 1 species
UAGCUCAGACAGUAAGGGUGUCUGGUUCCUGACCAGAAGGUCCUGGGUUCAAUCCCAG